UUAAACAAAAAAGAGCGUAGGGCGGAUGCCUUGGCACUAAGAGCCGAUGAAGGACGUGAUAAGCUGCGAUAAGCUGCGGGGAAGAGCAAAUAUCUAUUGAUCCGCAGAUUUCCGAAUGGGGAAACCUACUGCAGAAGAGCUGCAGUGACUGUGCGUGAAUCCAUAGCGUACAGCCGGGAACCCGCUGAACUGAAACAUCUAAGUAGGCGGAGGAAGAGAAAACAACAGUGAUUCCGUAAGUAGCGGCGAGCGAACGCGGAAGAGCCCAAACCGCAGUGCGUGCACUGCGGGGUUCGGACUGCACACGGGAAUUGAAUCGUUACCGGAAAGACUUUGGAACAGUCUGCCACAGAGGGUGAAAGCCCCGUACGGGAAAACGAGUUAAGACCCAGCAGGAUCCAGAGUACCACGAGACACGUGAAACCUUGUGGGAAUGCGGGGGGACCACCCCCUAAGGCUAAAUACUACUUAGUGACCGAUAGUGCAUAGUACUGUGAAGGAAAGGUGAAAAGGACCCCGGGAGGGGAGUGAAAAAGAACCUGAAACCCUAUGUUUACAUGCAGUGGAAGUGCGAUACAUGAACGCACAACCGCGUACUUUUUGUAGAACGGUCCGGCGAGUUGCCGGUGCUGGCAAGGUUAAGGACUACAGGUCCGGAGCCGAAGGGAAACCGAGUCUUAAUAGGGCUUACAGUCAGCAUCGGCAGACCCGAAACCGGGUGAUCUAUCCAUGUCCAGGUUGAAGUCCCCGUAAAAGGGGAUGGAGGACCGAACACACAUCCGUUGAAAAGGGUGGUGAUGAGGUGUGGAUAGGGGAGAAAUUCCAAUCGAACCCGGAGAUAGCUGGUUCUCCUCGAAAUAGUUUUAGGACUAGCCUCGUUAUUAGUCUACCGGAGGUAGAGCACUGAAUUUUUGCGGGGGCGUCAAAGCCUACCAAGAGAUAUCAAACUCCGAAUGCCGGAUAGAUGAUUGACGGGAGUCAGACUGCACGAGAUAAGUUGGGUAGUCAAAAGGGAAAGAGCCCAGACCUACGGCUAAGGUCCCAAAGUGUGUGUUAAGUGGAAAAGGAUGUGGGAUUUCGAAGACAGCUAGGAUGUUGGCUUAGAAGCAGCCAUACAUUAAAAGAGUGCGUAACAGCUCACUAGUCGAGAGGUCCUGCGCCGAAAAUGUCCGGGGCUAAACACAACACCGAAGCCUGGGAAUGUAUUUAUACAUUGGUAGAGGAGCAUUCUUAGAAGCGUAGAAGCCAUACCGGAAGGAAUGGUGGAGUAAUAAGAAGAGAGAAUGCCGGAAUGAGUAGCGAGAAAGAGGUGAGAAUCCUCUUGGCCGAAUAUCUAAGGUUUCCUGAGUAAAGCUGAUCUGCUCAGGGUAAGUCGGGGCCUAAGGCAAGGUCGAAAGACGUAGUCGAUGGAUAACAGGUACAGAUUCCUGUACUACAUAUAAUCAGAACUGUGGGGACACGGAGACUGGAACCGAACCCGGGAGGACAAAAACCGGGGCAAGCGAAGUACCUGUAUGGGAGGAAAAACCACCAUACAAGGGGAAAGCGUUAAGCGUACCGAAAAUUAGUAGGGAAGUCGGUUAGGGAGCCGUCAAGAAAAGCCGCUAUAGUGUUAUAUGUACCCGUACCGCAAACCGACACAGGUAGAUGAGGAGAGAAUCCUAAGGCCGGCGGGAGAAGCAUUGUUAAGGAACUCGGCAAAAUGACCCCGUAACUUCGGGAGAAGGGGUGCCACUUUAAAAGAGUGGUCGCAGAAAAAAGGCUCAAGCAACUGUUUAGCAAAAACACAGGUCUAUGCGAAACCGCAAGGUGAAGUAUAUGGGCUGACGCCUGCCCGGUGCCGGAAGGUUAAGAGGAGAAGUCAGGAAACGAAGCUUUGAAUUGAAGCCCCGGUAAACGGCGGCCGUAACUAUAACGGUCCUAAGGUAGCGAAAUUCCUUGUCGGGU
rnacentral:rRNA from 1 species